GCAGGCACAUCGAUGGGCAGUGCCAUCUAUGAGGCAAAAACCGAAAGUGUCGCCAUCUAGUGGUCAGUUGGGUGCCGCGAUUGGGGUAAGAAUUUUCGGAGACGAAGAGGCAACAGAGUCAAUUGUCAUGAUCCCGGAAAACGGAGAGUUAUUCUAUGGGGGCUAACUUAGCUUCCCGCCCAGAGCCACGAGCUGCUGGCUUUCUUUCCCUUUUCGGCAGCCAUCGAGUGCGGUUUAGUUCAGUUUGGCCUUGUGUAAAGUGACGGAUAGAAUAUCCAGAUUAUAUAUAUAGCGCUAAAUCCUGUUUAUGGGUUUGGCGCUUAGUAUCCGAUAUUGGAUCCGGCCGUUGCUGUAGAGGGAACGAUUCAUCAAGUCCCCCUAAAGAAGACCGAAGUCAUCCGACGGAGAAGGGAAAUUAUCGUCGCAUAAAUGGGUCUCAAAGGCCUAAGAGUUCCCUAAGAUAAUUAUUUAAUCAGCUUAAGUCGCUGGGAGCGGAGUUAGGACUAAGAGAGGGCAAAAGAGUCAAAAAGAACUCGAGAUGUAACACCUGCCCAAAUUACACAUAAUAUUUAUAUUCCCUCUUCAUCAUCUUCGUUAUCUCCCGCCUGCGAGCGAAACUUAGCGAAGCUCAGUUUGACAGGCAGUUUUUCGGCGCGCUGAUCUAGUUUAGACGUUUCGGUCCACGCUCGGACGAAAAUUUAAUUUAACUCGUCGAACAACAAUGCGGAAUAAUUGUUAAGUCGCCGCACGGAAUGUAAGGCAGUUCGGAAAGCCAAAGAUCGGUCGGAGUUCGCUGAAAGUGGAUAGUUUAUAAGCUAUUUCAUAAGUUUUUCUUUUCUUUUUUUUUGCGGUCUAGGUUAUGUGAAAUAAGCAGUGAGAGUGGAAAACCUAAGGUGCACUUACGGAAGCGCUUUCGUCGGUGGAUCUCCGGAAUGUUGGUGAGUCAGAUAUCACGUUUUAUUAAUAUGUCUUUGUAAAAUAUAUAUAUCAAAUGAAUUACUUUGCGUCCCAC